ACUCGGCACACGCUUCGAAGCGUCGGCACAUCUCGUAACAUCACUAAUUAACUCUGAUAUAAUAACUGUUGGUUUAUUUAUCGGUGGAGCAGCAGAACAUUUUCCACAGACAGUUUUCCUGCCCGUUGGCUUGUUUUAACCAGUUUUCUGCCUUCGACUGAUUCUACCAGCAGACACUGAAAGGACUCUGAUAGUUCGAGUGAAAGUAGCAGUUCCUCCUUAAGGUCAGAGAUUGCAGCAUCUGAGGGCCUCUUCAAAAGAAGACGUAGUUGAUGAAGGCGUUCUGGAGCAGGACCAGAAAGACCACGACCAAGCAGCCUUGAGAUCUUAGGCAGCGUCUCCCUCAGCUUCAGCUCCAGAGACGGCAGGCGGGACGAGUCAACGGAGGCCGGUUGGACGAAGGCAUGCAGCUGAGUACAAUCCAGAAAACAACAGAGGAGGAGUGCAGCAUCGUAUGUCUCUUAGAAAACAUCAUAGUAUAGCCUUUGGUAUGAAAGAGCGCCAUCAUAUACAUCGUAUAUUGUACAAAUAACAAGUCAAAGGAAAGAGAGACAUUUUUUUACUGAUUUACGGUAAUAAAUCAAUUUAAAAAUGGUGCUACUUUGGCUCUGAACCUUUAUCUACCUGUGGUCGCUCUGUCUUCUGGAGUGAUUUGAUUGGUUUUACGUCACAAAUAAAACUCCUUUAACUUAACAUCUGUAAACAAAAAAAAAACAAAACGUAUCAACAAAUUUUUCUGUUAAAGUUUGUGUUCUUGUAAGUUUAACUCCAAGAUUUUAAAUACUUUCAUUUACUGCAAAUGAAUAUCUACUCCAAAUGUCUCACUAAUAAUCAUUAUCAGCCUUAAAAACCCACAAAACACCCCUCUAUACUCCACCACACUUAGUACAGUCCGGUUCCCCCUUCUAUAAAUCUGCUUGGAAUCUUCCACUUCCUGUUUGUCAAAGUGGCCUUCUACCUGGACAGGUUUUGUUGGAGCUCAUGCAACAAACAUUUUGGGUAACUGCACUUUAAUAUGGAUGGAUGACACUGAAUUAGAGUCUGUUUUAAUGAGACUGAGUUAAGAUGUGUAGCUGUCAUUAAAUAGGAAAUUAUUUCUCUGAAUUCACAGAGAAAAGUCUGAAAUGUUUGCUAGGUUAGCGUCCCACAUGUACUUUGGCUCAGCUAAAGCUAACUCUCUCCAACUUCUGGAUCUCUUGAGUUGCUUCUUGUUAAAAUAUCUUGCUGUAGGUGCUGAAGCUCAGAAAGUCUGAGAUGUUUGUUCAAAAUAAGCUCAUUCUCAAGUCUUAUCUGAACUGUCUUCUUUUGUUUGAACUUUCCCUAAACUUAGGAGUUAAAGACAGAGCAGCACAUCCAGACUCAGUCUCAUUUAUGUAGAGAUUAAACUUCAGUGUCAUUCAUCGAUGUUAAAAUGCAGUUUUUCAAAUGCUUGUUGCACAUGCUCAUGACCAAACCAGUCCAGGUGGAAGACGAUGUGAAGAGAAAGCUCCAGAGGAUGAAUAUCACACAUUUACGUUGGAAAUAAAUGUCCUUUAGUUUGACAUUGUCAUGCAAAUGAUGUUCAAAUCUUUGUUGAGUGUUUUGUUGAUGUUGGUUUCUAAAUGUUUUUUGACACUCGGCCCCAAAGAUUAAAACCUUCUAUGGCUCACAAGCUGCAACAAUUCACACAUUAUCAACUAUCUUUCUGACUAAACUAAGAUAAAAAGUGAAAAACUGCCUGAUUCCUGCAUCAUGAAUGUAAAUCUUUUUGGUUUUUAUGACAGUAAACUUAAUAUGUUUGGGUUUGACAUUUUAUAAACCAAAACAAUAAAUGAAUUACUGGAGAAAACAAUCAACAGAUUAAUGGACAAAGAAAAUGUUUUCCAACAUAUAUGGCUGAAUUACUCCAACAUUAGAAGAUAUAUACAAUUUUAAUUCAAUUUUAUUUAUAGAAUUCCAAUUACAGGUCAAAUUGUCUCAAGACGCUUUAUUUUUAGAUUUUUUUUGUCAUAUUUAAAAUAUGACUAAGAAAUUUAAACCUCUUGAGUAAUCCAAUUUAUUUGUUUUUUAAGAGACUAAUCGGCAAUUAAAAUAACUUUCUCCACUAAAACUAAUAAACAUGAGGUCAAAUAGAAGGAAGAGUUUUAAAUACUGCAGUCCCACGACGACAAGAAUAAAGUUUGUCAACAAAAACUAAAUCAUCUGGUGGAUUCCAUGAAAGUCCUAAUAAAGGAUAAUAAAGUGUGAUACUAAAGAUUUGUGGUGUUAAAAAUGUCAAAGUACAGAUAUCAAGUUGAACAUCUUGGAUGGAGGUUGAUAAAAGUUGACCUUCUUUCAUUUCUGUGGAGCGACUCCAUGGAUUUUAUGGAUGGUGGUUAAAGACCUGCUCUUCUAGUGGUCUUCCUUCUAGUCGCUGUAAAAAGUCAGUCCAUCCUGGCCGACUUCAACACCUCUUCAUGACAGCUUGUUCUACCUCAGACCUGGUGGAAACUCCAGAAACUCGGGAAAACCUGUGGAGACUCGAAGAACUCGUGGAGACUCGAAGAACUCGUCGGGCGGGGGAAGGUGUGGUGGGUGGUGGGGGGGAGGUGGGGGAGUAGAGGGGGGAGGCCGCCACCCACCUCCCCGCCUACUCUCCGCCCUGACUCCACCCAGACUCCGCCUUGGCUCCACCCAUGUGGUGACUUCAGAACUACGAUGCCAAAGGGACGACGAAAUUAUUUCUUUGUAUCUGAUCUGUAGCUCAGUGAGUUAAGGAUUUGCCUAUGGAGCUGCAGGUCGCUGGUUCAAGACCAGACCCUUCUUAAGUUUUAUCAAAAGCCUGACAAAGACAAACAAAGAAAAAGGCCGGUGGUGGGUCUUGAACCUGCGACCCUCCGCUCUGUAGUCUCUCCUCUUAUCCCCCUGAGCUACUCGCUCAGAUACUAAAUUUCCUUUUUUUUGCGCAUUUAUCAUCUAUUUUUUGUCGUUUUCGAAUUUUUUUUAUCUCGAGUCUCGACUCGACCGUUUUUCUCAGGAGGUUGGACUUUCAGCCUUUGUGCUGGAGGGUGGAACCCUCAGUUCCAAGACUUUCCAAAGCCUCCAGACCUCCCGAGUCCUCAGGACCUGAGCUUUCACACAGUCUGAGGGCUGAAAUUUUCUAAGUCCCACAGUAGAUCUCUGUUAGUUUGAACCUUCAGACAGUCCAAGGACUGAUAUCUUCCAAGUUCCUGAGUAGUUCUCUGUUAGUUUGAACCUUCAGACAGUCUGAGGGCUGAAAUUUUCUAAGUCCCACAGUAGUUCUCUGUUAGAUUGAACUUUCAGACAGCCCAAGGACUGAUAUCUUCCAAGUUCCUGAGUAGUUCUCUGUUAGUUUGAACCUUCAGACAGUCUGAGGGCUGAAGUUUUAAAAGUUUCUCAGUACUUCUCUGUUAGUUUGAACCUUCAGACAGUCUGAGGGCUGAAAUUUUAAAAGUUUCUCAGUACUUCUCUGUUAGUUUGAACCUUUAGACAGUCUGAGGACUGAAAUCUUAAAAGUUUCUCAGUACUUCUCUGUUAGUUUGAACUUUCUGGUUAACAGAAGCCUUAAAACUUGUGACCGUGAGUCUUGAUUUCACAUUUAGACCAUCGAUCUGAGUUCUUCUCAGACUUCACCUGUGGGUUUUUUAGAAAUCCUGAACAAACUUUGAUUCUCUUCACUGAACAGUAAAGUUUGUGGAGAUCAGAAGGUAACAUUAGUUUGAUCGAUGCCUUCAACUACUAGUAGACUUUAUCUGGAAAGCAGUUUUCUGAAAUGAGUUCUUAGUAAAUCUGUCCACAAUCAAACCAAGAACAUAGAAAGAGGAAAUGUUUGAAGAAACAACUUGGUUUUCAUUUCAGACUAGAAAACGCUUCAAGACCUUUAUUGUUUUUGCUCUUUUUGAUAGUUUUAUUGUCUCUUCUGUUUAAUUUGAUCUUCUAAAGUUUAACUGGUGUCUUUUCAAAUGUUUUGUCUUUAGUUUGAUUCUUCUUAAAUGUUUAGUUUUGCUCUUUUCUCACCUUUUAUUCUUUUCUAAUGUCUGAUUUGAUUUCCAAAUGUUUUGUCUCUUUAAUGUUUGUUUUUUCAAAUGUUUAUCGGCUUGUUUGAAAAAUUUCCUUUUCUUUCCCAAUGUUCAAUUUUUCGAUUAAAUCUUUAAGGUUUUUCUUUUUAAAUGUUUUACCACCUUUUAAUGUUUAAUUUUCUUUUUAAAUGCUUC
ensembl:lncRNA